GACGAACGCUGGCGGCGUGCCUAAUACAUGCAAGUAGAACGCUGAAGCUUGGUGCUUGCACCGAGAGGAUGAGUUGCGAACGGGUGAGUAACGCGUAGGUAACCAGCUAGGUAGCGGGGGGUAACUAUGGGAAACGAUAGCUACUACCGCAUAAGAGUAGAUGUUGCAUGAAACUUGCUUACAAGGUACAAUGGCCGCACUACCAAGUGGACCUGCGUUGUAUUAGCUAGUUGGGGAGGGAACGGCCCACCAAGGCAACGGUACAUAGCCGGCCUGAGAGGGUGAUCGGCCACCCCUGGACUGGGACCCCGCCCAGACUCCUUCGGGAGGCAGCAAUAGGGAAUCUUCGGCAAUGGACGGAAGUCUUACCGAGCAACGCCGCGUUAGUGAAGGAGGUUUUCGGGUCGUAAAGCUCUGUUGUUAGAGAAGAACGAGUGUGAGAGUGGAAAGUUCACACUGUGACGGUAUCUUACCAGAAAGGGACGGCUAACUACGUG
rnacentral:rRNA from 1 species